rnacentral:rRNA from 1 species
UACGUAGGGUGCGAGCGUUGUCCGGAAUUAUUGGGCGUAAAGAGCUCGUAGGCGGUGUGUCGCGUCGGCCGUGAAAACUUGCAGCUUAACUGUGGGCGUGCGGUCGAUACGGGCAUCACUGGAGUUCGGCAGGGGAGACUGGAAUUCCUGGUGUAGCGGUGAAAUGCGCAGAUAUCAGGAGGAACACCAGUGGCGAAGGCGGGGCUCUGGGCCGAUACUGACGCUGAGGAGCGAAAGCGUGGGGAGCAAACAGG